GUGGGGAAUUUUGGACAAUGGGCGCAAGCCUGAUCCAGCAAUGCCGCGUGCAGGAAGAAGGCCUUCGGGUUGUAAACUGCUUUUGUACGGAACGAAACGGUCCUGGUUAAUACCUGGGGCUAAUGACGGUACCGUAAGAAUAAGCACCGGCUAACUACGUGCCAGCAGCCGCGGUAAUACGUAGGGUGCGAGCGUUAAUCGGAAUUACUGGGCGUAAAGCGUGCGCAGGCGGUUUUGUAAGACAGGCGUGAAAUCCCCGGGCUUAACCUGGGAAUUGCGCUUGUGACUGCAAGGCUGGAGUGCGGCAGAGGGGGAUGGAAUUCCGCGUGUAGCAGUGAAAUGCGUAGAUAUGCGGAGGAACACCGAUGGCGAAGGCAAUCCCCAGGGCCUGCACUGACGCUCAUGCACGAAAGCGUGGGGAGCAAACAGGAUUAGAAACCCGUGUAGUCC
rnacentral:rRNA from 1 species